UGAACGCUGGCGGCGUGCUUAACACAUGCAAGUCGAACGGUGAAGCCCAGCUUGCUGGGUGGAUCAGUGGCGAACGGGUGAGUAACACGUGAGCAAUCUGCCCCUGACUCUGGGAUAAGCGCUGGAAACGGCGUCUAAUACUGGAUAUGAGCUGCGAUCGCAUGGUCAGUAGCUGGAAAGAUUUUUUGGUCAGGGAUGAGCUCGCGGCCUAUCAGCUUGUUGGUGAGGUAAUGGCUCACCAAGGCGUCGACGGGUAGCCGGCCUGAGAGGGUGACCGGCCACACUGGGACUGAGACACGGCCCAUACUCCUACGGGAGGCAGCAGUGGGGAAUAUUGCACAAUGGGCGCAAGCCUGAUGCAGCAACGCCGCGUGAGGGAUGACGGCCUUCGGGUUGUAAACCUCUUUUAGCAGGGAAGAAGCGAAAGUGACGGUACCUGCAGAAAAAGCGCCGGCUAACUACGUGCCAGCAGCCGCGGUAAUACGUAGGGCGCAAGCGUUAUCCGGAAUUAUUGGGCGUAAAGAGCUCGUAGGCGGUUUGUCGCGUCUGCUGUGAAAUCCCGAGGCUCAACCUCGGGUCUGCAGUGGGUACGGGCAGACUAUAGUGCGGUAGGGGAGAUUGGAAUUCCUGGUGUAGCGGUGGAAUGCGCAGAUAUCAGGAGGAACACCGAUGGCGAAGGCAGAUCUCUGGGCCCGUAACUGACCCUGAGGAGCGAAAGGGUGGGGGAGCAAACAGGCUUAGAUCCCCUGGUAGUCCACCCCGUAAACGUUGGGAACUAGUUGUGGGGUCCAUUCCACGGAUUCCGUGACGCAGCUAACGCAUUAAGUUC
rnacentral:rRNA from 1 species